GAGCGGCGGACGGGUGAGUAAUGCCUAGGAAUCUGCCUGGUAGUGGGGGAUAACGUCCGGAAACGGGCGCUAAUACCGCAUACUAUCAGAUGAGCCUAGGUCGGAUUAGCUAGUUGGUGGGGUAAAGGCCUACCAAGGCGACGCUCCGUAACUGGUCUGAGAGGAUGAUCAGUCACACUGUAACUGAGACGCGGUCCAGACUCCUACGGGAGUCAGCAGUGGGGAAUAUUGGACAAUGUGCGAAAGCCUGUUCCAGCCAUGCCGCGUGUGUGAAGAAGUUAUUCGGAUUGUAAAGCACUUUAAGUUGGGAGGCGUUACCAACAGAAUAAGCACCGGCUAACUUCGUGCCAGCAGCCGCGGUAAUUC
rnacentral:rRNA from 1 species